rnacentral:rRNA from 1 species
AUUGAACGCUGGCGGCAGGCCUAACACAUGCAAGUCGAACGGUAGCACAGAGAGCUUGCUCUCGGGUGACGAGUGGCGGACGGGUGAGUAAUGUCUGGGAAACUGCCUGAUGGAGGGGGAUAACUACUGGAAACGGUAGCUAAUACCGCAUAAUGUCGCAAGACCAAAGAGGGGGACCUUCGAGCCUCUUGCCAUCGGAUGUGCCCAGAUGGGAUUAGCUUGUUGGUGAGGUAAAAGCUCACCAAGGCGACGAUCCCUAGCUGGUCUGAGAGGAUGAGCAUCCACACUGGAACUGAGACACGGUCCAGACUCCUACGGGAGGCAGCAGUGGGGAAUAUUGCACAAUGGGCGCAAGCCUGAUGCAGCCAUGCCGCGUGUGUGAAGAAGGCCUUCGGGUUGUAAAGCACUUUCAGCGGGGAGGAAGGCGGUGAGUUUAAUAAGCUCACCGAUUGACGUUACCCGCAGAAGAAGCACCGGCUAACUCCGUGCCAGCCGCCGCCGUAA